rnacentral:rRNA from 1 species
GUGCAGCAGUCGCGAAUUUUUCACAAUGGGGGAAACCCUGAUGGAGCGACGCCGCGUGGAGGAUGAAGGCGUUUUCGUCGUAAACUCCUGUCAAACGGGAACAAGAAAGUGAUAGUACCGUUAGAGGAAGAGGCGGCUAACUCUGUGCCAGCAGCCGCGGUAAUACAGAGGCCUCAAGCGUUGUUCGGAUUCAUUGGGCGUAAAGGGUGCGUAGGUGGCUUGGUAAGUUGAAGGUGAAAUCUCGGGGCUUAACUCCGAAACUGCCUUCAAUACUGCCGAGCUCGAGGAUUGUAGAGGAGAAUGGAAUUCACGGUGUAGCAGUGAAAUGCGUAGAUAUCGUGAGGAAGACCAGUGGCGAAGGCGAUUCUCUGGGCAAUUCCUGACACUGAGGCACGAAGGCUAGGGGAGCAAACGGGAUUAGAUACCCCCGUAGU